GACGAACGCUGGCGGCGUGCUUAACACAUGCAAGUCGAACGGUAAGGCCCUUCGGGGUACACGAGUGGCGAACGGGGGAGUAACACGUGGGUGAUCUACCCUGCACUUCGGGAUAAGCCUGGGAAACUGGGUCUAAUACCGGCUAUGACCACUGACUGCAGGGCUGGUGGUGGAAAGGUUUUGCGGUGUUGAAUGGGGCCGCGGCCUAUCAGCUUGUUGGUGGGGUGAUGGCCUACCUAGGCGACGACGGGUAGCCGGCCUGAGAGGGUGACCGGCCACACUGGGACUGAGAUACGGCCCAGACUCCUACGGGAGGCAGCAGUGGGGAAUAUUGCACAAUGGGCGCAAGCCUGAUGCAGCGACGCCGCGUGAGGGAUGACGGCCUUCGGGUUGUAAACCUCUUUCAGCACCGACGAAGCGCAAGUGACGGUAGGUGCAGAAGAAGGACCGGCCAACUACGUGCCAGCAGCCGCGGUAA
rnacentral:rRNA from 1 species